ACGAGCUUUAUUUUUAUUCAGAAAAAUGGCGGCUUCGUGUUCAAAUAGUACCUCAGAGAAAUCAGCGAUAAGUUCUGUAGUCGACUCGGGACCGUCACCGGACAAUGGUUUUUGGGCAGGACAGGGUCAAGUUGUGAACCGAAAUCCUGCGGUAAAGUUACUGAGUCCGAUGAGCGGUCUGGAGCCACUGUCGUGGUCAGAAGAUCACAGAUUGGCGGCCUCUACCAUCAACAGCGUGUCUGUCAUGGAGAUGGUGUGUGAUAUACACAGUCUCAGUCAAGACCUGGUGCUGCAUCGUACUCACAUCCCCGUACCGGACACCGCUUAUGAACUCAAGGUGGGUCCAGAAAAGGAAGUGAUGACUGCUAAAGAGAAGUUUGCAAAGAGUAAAGAUCCAACCAUAAGCCAAAUGAUAAUGGUGGACAGAGUCAUCAACCCUCAAAGUGGACAUCUCCGUGGCGUCAAAUACACCAGCUGGUCACCAUUAGGAUGUGACAGCAAUGGUCGUUGUCUUCUUGCUUUUCUAACACUGGACUGUCGUCUCACCAUCCACAGCAGUCACAGACGCUUUCAGUGGACACCUCUCUUGAACCUUACAGAACUUUAUGGGGAAAUUUUAAAAUCCAGGAAGUACUCUGCUCAAAAUGACGGGUCACCUCCCUGCUCCCUUUCAGACUUGGAUGAGCUGCAAAGGCGGUAUCGCACGCAAACGCCUGUCCGCAUGGAGUGGUCUGGUCUGUGCAAUACGCAACAAGUUCAGACUAAUAAUGCAUGUAAAGACGUUAGCACAGUGCUCCUGGCUGUACUUAUGGAGAUCGGUGAUCUAGUGGUGUGGCAGUUCUCCUUGCCCCUACAAGGGAAGGAUUCAGUGGUGUCUUGCAACACCAUACAGUCUGGGGUGUCCUCCCCGAGCGUGCUCUCCUGGUGGGAAUAUGAGCAUGGUGGCCGCAAAAUGAGCGGACUGAUUGUGGGCAGCUUAGUUGGACCCAUAAAGAUCCUGCCAGUCAAUCUUAAGGCAGUGAAGGGUUAUUUCACUCUCAGGCAACCUGUGGUGUUGUGGCAGGAUAAGGACCAGAUACCUGUACACAACAUCAAAUGCAUCACUCUAUUCCAUCCGCAACAGAAAUGCAACUGCAGCCUGGUGGUUGCAGCACGUGGCCCUUAUGUGUUCUGGUGCUUGUUGCUCAUCUCCAAAGCUGGCCUCAAUGUUCAUAAUUCCCACAUCACAGGUCUUCAUUCCACCCCCAUCAUAUCCAUGACGGUUAACCAUAACAAUGGGUCUAUAUUUACUUGCUCUUUAGAUGGUGUAGUAAAGCAGCUUACGCCCAUUUUCACCGAUGUCGCGGUGGUGUUUAAACAGCAGGAGAUUGUUCUGCCAGAGGGUGUGGCAGGGAAAUGGAUGCAUGGCAUAUCUGUCAGUCCCAAUGGUGCAUACAUGGCCCUACUGUCCCAUGAGGGCAUGAUCAAUGGGCUCCACCCCGUCAACCGCACUUACCAGGUUCAGUUUAUCACCCUAAAGACUACAGAUGAAGCAGCUACAGAGCUUCUCAAGUCUGAAAUGCAGAACCUCUUCAGACAGACUGAUUUGUUGGAUCUGUUACGGUGGAGAGUGAUGAAGGACAAAAGCAUCCCACCUUUCCUUGAAAACGACCUGGACAAGAAGACUCAAACUUCAGGGUCCAGCUACUUUUGGCGCCUAAAGCUUCUCCUUCUGCGAAUGCUCCAAAUGUCCAUGCAGAAGACCCCCUCUGAGGCCCAGUGGAGGCCCAGUCUUAAGGAUAGUAAGGUGUUUGUUGGGGAAGAGGAGGUAGGUGGGGGUGAGGAAGACGAGAUAACAGAGAUAUCAGCUAUAGAAGAGUUCAGGCCAUCGGACGCCGAUAAGAAAUCCGGUGAUGAACGAAUGAGUGAGAUUAGCAGCCAGAUCGAAGAGCUGGAGUCCCACCUGACCCGUGAGAACAUGAAGAAGGUGCUUAGCGAGGUGUACCUGCACACCUGCGUCACUCAAAACACAUGUAUACCUACCAAAGGUGUGUGUGACUUUCUCACAAAUGACCCUACUAAUGAAGACAGGGCAGCCAAGGUGCUGAUAGGUCAUAUCAUGAAUAAGAUGAACAAACAGACAUUUCCAGAGUACUGCAACCUCUGUAAAGAGGUUCUGCCCUUCACAGACCAUAAACUGGCAGAGUGUAAGAACGGCCACAGAUGGCUCAGGUGUGCGCUGUCAUAUCAGGCCUGUCAGGGUGUGACAUACCGCCGCUGUCUAUUGCAGGAUAGUAUUGCCUCAGUAGCAGAGCCUGAGGGAGGUGGAAGCAGCCAGUCCAACUCUACAGCAUGAGCGGAGCGGAGACAGAUGGGACGCAGUCAGGAUACAAACUCGCGCAGAUGCAUUCAACUCCAACUCAAAGCAUAUGCCAUUUGAACAGUUUCCACAAAAAUUAUCUGAAUUUCAAUAACCUGCAGCACAGCCUCCCUGUCGGGUUGCUUCAGAAGGCCCACCAAACUCCAGAGGAGCCCAUGGGAUGGCAAGGAGAGGGACAGGCGUGCCGUUAUUAGCCUCUGAAAACUGAUCAGACAUUUAUGCAAAAGAGAGAAACUGGAGUGAAGGCAUCUUCAAUUAUCUGAUGAGGCAAGUUUAUCUGAACGGCUCCAUUUUCUUUUCUUUUUUUCCUGCGUGAGGAUCAAAUAGCAGCUCUUUACAUAACAAAAGAGCUUCCUGCCUGACCUGCUUCAUUCAGCCUACUUUCUGAUGCAGCUGGACUUUCCAUAAAUAGGAGGACUUUUCUACUGUAAAACGCUGACAUAUUCCAAAAAGAGAAACAAAUGCAUUUAUUUUCAAGGCUAAUAGUACUACUUACGUCCACAAAUUAAAUAAAUUAUUCACGUGUUUGCGAUUAAAACAUAUGCAAUUCUUUCUCAGCUAAACUCAGCCAACUGUGACCUGUAAGAACACUAAUAAAUCAUUUUUUGAAAAUAUAUUAUCAUGUUAUAGUGGGAUAUAAAAAAUCAUCCAGUGUUUCAGAUCUUAGCUCCAUUUUUUUGCUGAAGACCAAUACACUGCUUCAACAAACAUGUUACUAAUUCAUUUAUUUUAAAGUGUGUGUAACUGGAUAGUUGUUAAUUAAUAUAGCUGUCAGUUAAAGGUCUUCUGCCGGACCAGUGGUAUCACUAGCUUGACCUGCUAGCCACACUAGGCCUCUGUGUGCAACUCUAUUAAGCUAAUGCUAUGCAAAAAAGGUCUCCAGCCAUUAGUUCUCACACUGGGACCCAUUAAUAGCAUAAUUGGGCCAUUCCAAAGGGCAAUUAAUAUGGAAGCACACUAUGAUCACUUCCCCAUCUAAAGCUUAAAAUUAUCCUAAUUUAUGUUAUGAUUCCAGCUGCAUCUCCCUCAAGAGCAUGGCUUCCUGCUGACCUAGACGGAUAAAAACAGGGAUCAAGUUUAAGAAUUCAAAAGACUCAAAUGAAGGAGAAUUUCCUGAUUUCCCACUAAAUGUAUGCAUGUAAGAAGAGUACACUACCUAUAAAUGGGGAUUUUAAUUAUUAUAGUAAUACAGAUUUGACGAUGCAGUGCUUAAAGUCCCUAUAAAACCAAAAAUAUUGAUAAAAAAUUUCUGUGCAAUAAAAUGCUCUCUAGAAUGCAAAAUGCUCCUCCCCCUAAUACAGUGGUUCUCAAAUUUAUUUGGACAAGCCCCCCUUUGAAACAACAGAAACUUUCGCGCCCCUUAAAAAAAAAAAUAGCAGAACAUUUUUCUCUCAAUGGAGACAUUUACACUGGAUAUUUUUUAUUUUUUUUAAGAUAAUAAUAAUAAUUGCAAAGAUUCAUACCUGUGAAUGUUAAUCCGCCUCAGUAAUAUCUAUAAAAGCAUUUUUAAACUCCAGUAAACUUCCAGUAAGAAUAAACGACUGUGAUUGGCCCAUCCUGGCCAGCGCUGAGAUAAGUAACAGGUACUAUGUGUCAGCUACAAGACUGAGGGAUGAGAGGAUGGUGAUAGGCUGUCCAAGUUCCAGAAGCACCAUACAAGUCGUCCUUAACUCUUGUACCUUAUAUAUCAAUUCUUCUGAAGCCAUUCGAUAGAUGUAAGCGGCUGUACAUCAUCGCACCUAGGUAACUCCUAGCCAAUCACAUGUAAGCCAAUGCUUUAUAAGUCUGCUCACAAUCUAUCACAUUGCUGUUUCAGUGUGCUAACAUGGCAACCUCCACCACCCCACCACCACCAGUUGAGUCCCGUCCUGCACGGGGGUAGGCUCCUUGCCCCUGCCUCCUAUCUCCGGAAGGAUAUGACGGUUCCGAGUACAACUUCUUCGGAUUGCCAGACGGGGCUUACGUCAAGAGAGACAUUACAUUUCUGUUUUAUAUUCAUCAAAUAUAUGUCAUCUUAAAUUUCACUCAAGUCUGCGAGUCUUCCUGAUAGAAUGUUAUUUAUAUCAUCGUUUCCCCAUUUGAAACUGCUGCGCGAGACAUCUUUGUUUACAUAAGCGUAGCUGAGAGCACACCUGACACUAUAACAUGCUUUGUGCAGUUCGCGCUGCGGUGCCUGCCAAAAGUUUAAACAAAGCAGGAGAAAAAGCAUAGGUGUAGAAAUUGCACACAUUGGUUCUUGCGUGUAUUGUCACUAUUUUUGCUGAAUGUAGUGAAUGAGUGAUUUGAGAACAGGUCAGUCUUCCGUGCCCCCCUUACAAUACCUUCGCACCCACCCCUUACGGGGCGCGGCCCACACUUUGAGAACCACUGCCCUAAUAGCACCUUACAGUGACUAGCAAUAGCAAGUAGCAAAUCAUAGUUUUACUAGGCUGACGUAAACUAAAGGCGAGUUGCUCUCUGAUUGUUUAAAAGUCUGGUUCCAGAAGUAAAAAUCCCAUAAUUAUUUUCCAUAGGGGAAUUGAUUUUUAACAAUAACUUAUAAAGCUUUAAAGACAGACCUACGGUGAGCUCCAAAGUUGUUAAUCGAUUGUAUACUUAUGCUGAAGCCACUGGUCCACAUUAUUUCAACUUCAUUUUAUUAAAAAGCUGCAAUUAAUAGCAGAAUUUCUGGUGAGAAACUAAACUACACUUGAUCCAGCAGAAAAAGAUCCACCAAUCAAAAACAUUGCGAUAAACAUUAUUGAUAAACAUAAUGUGAACAUUAACUGAAGCUCCUGACCUGUAUCUGCAUGAUUUUAUGCAUUGCACUUCUGCCAAAAGAUUGGCUGAUUAGAUAAUCGUAUGGAUAAGUAGGUGUACAGGUGUUCCUAAUGAAGUACAUUUGUAUAUAUAUGAAUAUUUUGCAAUAAACUUGAGAUAUACUGUAUUUUUUCAGUACCUACAACCAACAAUUUUAAAUUAACGGUUUGAUAUUUUUAUGUUGUUUUUAAUUUGAUUAUGUCAUUUGUAAUGCUUCAUGGGAUUGUAGUUCAUUCCCUCAUUUAAGAAAAUGUAAGAUUUGUUCAAUAAGGAAUACCUUUACUUGUCUUUUAUAGUGUAUCUGAAAUUCUGAAAAGCUAUAGCAGUGAUUAGUUGAAAUAAGAGCAUCAAUAUCCAAUCCUCAUUGUAUUUGAAUUAUGAAAUGUGCACCACCUGAUGUAUUGAGAUUAAACCUAUAGAUGUAUUUGAUUUACUAUGUAGGUUUUAUUCCAUUGUAAAUCAGCCCGUGGUAUUGGCUGACUGCUUUUCAUCCUUCUUAGAGAAACUGUGUUUGUAUGUGUAUGUGUGCAUGACAAGCUCUGAGGGAAUUUUAACAGUCGAGCCCCGCUAAAUCUUCCUGUUUCUACAGCAGAACAUCGAUAAAAUACAUAUCCUGUGUGUCUCUGUUCUCUCCUCCAAUGCCCACCCAAGCAUCCUCAACCAGCAAGGCAUAGAAUCUCUCUCUCGCACCUCAGGCAAUCUUAAACAUAAUCCCUUUUUUUUUUUUUUUUUUUUUUGCAAGUAAAUGGCCAAGAUCUCAGGUGCAGCUUUUAAACAGUAAGAGAAAAACUAAUGUUAACAUAUGCUGUGAGUGCCAGUAUCUCAGGCUCCAGUAUCGACCAGCACGGUGUGUGAUUAGGGUAGUGAAGCUAAACCAAUCCCAGACACAGAUCGAACUCGCACACUUUCAAUAUGGAUGCAACCCUGCUCACAGCGGCCACGUCCAGCUGACUCCAUUGAUUUUUCCUCAAUUAUAUAAUGGUGGCUCUAUCCAGGAUUUGAGCUAAAUCACACAUAUUGAAGAGUUGGCGUCUCUCAAAUGAAUCACUUUUUUCCCCCUCAUAUCUAAUGGUAUUUUAUUGGCAGUGUUUGACAAUCUCUCCAGAAACGUUCUGUGUGUGUGUGUGUGUGUGUGUGCAUCACUGCAUGUUCCUACAAUUUUAUUAAACAUAAGUGUGUGUGGUUGCAAUUUUCCAGAUCCUACUGAAGCAUUAGGCACAAAUUUUGCAUAUUAUGUAUCAUUUUUUUCAUUGACUUCAAAUGCCUUUUAAUUGACCCUCUG